CCUACGGGGGGCAGCAGUGGGGAAUAUUGCACAAUGGGCGCAAGCCUGAUGCAGCCAUGCCACGUGUGUGAAGAAGGCCUUCGGGUUGUAAAGCACUUUCAGCGGGGAGGAAGGCGUUAAGGUUAAUAACCUUGUCGAUUGACGUUACCUGCAGGAGAAGCACCGGCUAACUCCGUGCCAGCAGCCGCGGUAAUACGGAGGGUGCAAGCGUUAAUCGGAAUUACUGGGCGUAAAGCGCACGCAGGCGGUCUGUCAAGUCGGAUGUGAAAUCCCCGGGCUCAACCUGGGAACUGCAUUCGAAACUGGCAGGCUAGAGUCUUGUAGAGGGGGGUAGAAUUCCAGGUGUAGCGGUGAAAUGCGUAGAGAUCUGGAGGAAUACCGGUGGCGAAGGCGGCCCCCUGGACAAAGACUGACGCUCAGGUGCGAAAGCGUGGGGAGCAAACAGGAUUAGAUACCCGGGUAGUC
rnacentral:rRNA from 1 species